rnacentral:rRNA from 1 species
GACGUAGGGCGCGAGCGUUGUCCGGAUUUAUUGGGCGUAAAGAGCUCGUAGGCGGUCUGUCGCGUCUGCUGUGAAAACUCAGGGCUUAACCCUGAGCUUGCAGUGGGUACGGGCAGACUGGAGGUAUGCAGGGGAGAACGGAAUUCCUGGUGUAGCGGUGAAAUGCGCAGAAUAUCAGGAGGAACACCGGUGGCGAAGGCGGUUCUCGUGGGCAUGUCCUGACGCUGAGGAGCGAAAGUGUGGGGAGGCGAACAGG